UAGUACAAAUAAGUCCUCACUGACGGACAAAUUCCACCGGCUCGUAACGAAUCUUGAACGUCAAAUCAAGCCUCUGCAGAUCCUUUUUCUGCACAGUUCCAGGCCGGAGCCGGCAACCGAUCUUGGAUCAUCUGCCGCCGCCGGAUGAGCGGUCGGUCCCCGGAUGCGCUCGAAGGAAAACGUAAAGUUCCGUUGCUCCGUCGAGACCGCGGCUUCGCUACCAGCGAGAGCGAGGCGCCGUGGCGGCCGGCCGGUGUCGACCAAGCUCAGCCGUUGGUAACAACUCGCAGGCGGCCUGGGCAUGCCCGCCACCCGUUCGGGAAAAUGCCCGAGAGGGACUGCUUCGCGCCGCGGCAGCGGAGGCUCGCCGUCGCGGUGCAUGGAUGGCUCGCGCAAACCACGGCGUCGCUCGGCGUGAGGCCUCGCAAGCCAACCGGCCCGUACGUAUGGUUACCAAAUCAGAGUCCAGGUGCUACCUGCUACGGCGCGCAACGACCUUCGCAGUGGCGCUGCAAGCAAGUUGCUUACAUUUGGUGGAAUGGUCUUCUCAAGUGGCUUCUUCUGCGGCAAUGAUGGAUCGAAGACAAGAGAUUUCUUCAAGCCUAUGCACUUGUUUCCAUCGGAAGAGUAGAUUGGCCUGUCAGUUCCAGUGGCCUUCCAGAAGCCUGCUCCAGUUACCCUGUUUGGCCUUGUGCUGUUCCGAGAAGCAGAAGGUAGUUAACAAGGGAAAGAGAUGCGUAGAAGCUUACUUGGGAGAUCCCAUGGAUCAUACUUGUAGAUGUCCAGCUGCCUGAUGAGCUCAAUGGGGAGAGACUUCUGCUGGAUUUUUCUUUUGAGGUAGAACCUGACAAGCUCUUCAUCUGUUGGAUGAAACCUGAAGCCAGAUUGUGAUCUGUUCGCUGCUGCUGAGGUACUACGGCCAAAGGGAUUUGUAGGUACUACGGCCAAAGGGGGUGUUGAGAACUUACGAUGAUGCUCAUCUCUAGACUAUCAUUUCUCUAUCCUUGACACGCAGCGUGCUGCCAACGCGGGGUUGUAAAUUUGACCUAUUAACUACCUUUGUCGUUUAGGGAUAAAUGUUUUGUAUCCAUUUGGUUGUCACUACUAUGAAAGUUCUGGUUUUGCCCGUC